CACUAGCUCAGCUGGUAGAGCGCAACCUUGCCAAGGUUGAGGUCACGAGUUCGAACCUCGUGUGUCGCUCCA
rnacentral:tRNA from 1 species